AAUUUUUGAGAAAAAGAGAGAAUAUUGCUGUAAUCUUUUCCACCAUUCCGACUCUCUCAGUAGCACUUGAGUCUGGGAACGAGGUUAAUAUUGCUGUAAUCUUUGAUGGUUGUUUUACUGCGUGUCGCUAUACUAUGUGUUUAAAAGGUCAAGGGUCACAAUAUAUGGUAAUGCAUUAUUACAUGUCUGUGUUAAUGAUCUGGCUGUGAUGUUGACAAAAUGUCUGGGUUUUAUUGAAAAAGGUGGGCCUGAAAUGCCUGCAGAAAUGA